ACCAAGCUAUAACCGCUCAGAAGAGGUAAUAAGAGCUUGCAAUAAGCCGCCUUUGUCUGGCGAGUCUUAGUCAAAUA
rfam:Bacillus gobiensis strain FJAT-4402 chromosome.